CCUCCUUCGGGAGGGGAUUAGUGGCGAACGGGUGAGUAACACGUGGGCAAUCUGCCCUUCACUCUGGGACAAGCCCUGGAAACGGGGUCUAAUACCGGAUACGAGCCUCCAAGGCAUCUUGGAGGUUGGAAAGCUCCGGCGGUGAAGGAUGAGCCCGCGGCCUAUCAGCUUGUUGGUGAGGUAAUGGCUCACCAAGGCGACGACGGGUAGCCGGCCUGAGAGGGCGACCGGCCACACUGGGACUGAGACACGGCCCAGACUCCUACGGGAGGCAGCAGUGGGGAAUAUUGCACAAUGGGCGAAAGCCUGAUGCAGCGACGCCGCGUGAGGGAUGACGGCCUUCGGGUUGUAAACCUCUUUCAGCAGGGAAGAAGCGAAAGUGACGGUACCUGCAGAAGAAGCGCCGGCUAACUACGUGCCAGCAGCCGCGGUAAUACGUAGGGCGCAAGCGUUGUCCGGAAUUAUUGGGCGUAAAGAGCUCGUAGGCGGCUUGUCACGUCGGGUGUGAAAGCCCGGGGCUUAACCCCGGGUCUGCAUUCGAUACGGGCUAGCUAGAGUGUGGUAGGGGAGAUCGGAAUUCCUGGUGUAGCGGUGAAAUGCGCAGAUAUCAGGAGGAACACCGGUGGCGAAGGCGGAUCUCUGGGCCAUUACUGACGCUGAGGAGCGAAAGCGUGGGGAGCGAACAGGAUUAGAUACCCUGGUAGUCCACGCCGUAAACGGUGGGAACUAGGUGUUGGCGACAUUCCACGUCGUCGGUGCCGCAGCU
rnacentral:rRNA from 1 species